CACGGCGCACGGGUGCGUAACACGUGGGCAAUCUGCCCUCCGGUGGGGAAUAACCCCGCGAAAGCGGGGCUAAUUCCGCAUAACAUUCCCUGGACUCUGGUUCGGGGAUUCAAAGCAGCAAUGCGCCGGAGGAGGAGCCCGCGCCCGAUUAGCUAGUUGGUGAGGUGACGGCUCACCAAGGCAAUGAUCGGUAGCUGGUCUGAGAGGAUGGCCAGCCACACUGGAACUGAGACACGGUCCAGACUCCUACGGGAGGCAGCAGUGGGGAAUCUUGCGCAAUGGGCGAAAGCCUGACGCAGCGACGCCGCGUGGGGGGUGAAGCUUCUCGGAGUGUAAACCCCUUUCGACCGGGACGAAUGCCCGCAAGGGAGUGACGGUACCGGUAGAAGAAGCCCCGGCUAACUACGUGCCAGCAGCCGCGGUAAGACGUAGGGGGCCAGCGUUGUUCGGAAUUACUGGGUGUAAAGGGUUCGUAGGUGGUGUGGCAAGUCGGGAGUGAAAUUUCUGGGCUUAACCCAGAAGCUGCUUCCGAAACUGCUGUGCUAGAGUGUGGGAGAGGCGCGUGGAAUUGCAGGUGUAGCGGUGAAAUGCGUAGAUAUCUGCAGGAACACCCGUGGCGAAAGCGGCGCGCUGGACCACUACUGACGCUGAGGAACGAAAGCUAGGGGAGCAAACAGGAUUAGAUACCCUGGUAGUCCUAGCCCUAAACGAUCAGGACUUGGGGUGCCACCCGUUCGGGUGUCGUCCCGGAGCUAACGCGUUAAGUCCUGCACCUGGGGAGUACGGUCGCAAGACUGAAACUCAAAGGAAUUGACGGGGGCCCGCACAAGCGGUGGAACAUGUGGUUCAAUUCGA
rnacentral:rRNA from 1 species